AUUGAACGCUGGCGGCAGGCCUAACACAUGCAAGUCGAACGAGUGGCGGACGGGUGAGUAAUGUCUGGGAAACUGCCUGAUGGAGGGGGAUAACUACUGGAAACGGUAGCUAAUACCGCAUACCAUCGGAUGUGCCCAGAUGGGCUUAGCUAGUAGGUGGGGUAACGGCUCACCUAGGCGACGAUCCCUAGCUGGUCUGAGAGGAUGACCGGCCACACUGGAACUGGGACACGGUCCGGACUCCUACGGGAGGAGGCAGUGGGGAAUAUUGCACAAGGGGCGCAAGCCUGAUGCGGCCAUGCCGCGUGUAUGAAGAAGGCCUUCGGGUUGUAAAGUACGUUCAGCGGGAAGGCGUUACCCGCAGAAGAAGCACCGGCUAACUCCGUGCCAGCAGCCGCGGUAAUAC
rnacentral:rRNA from 1 species